rnacentral:rRNA from 1 species
UACGUAGGGUGCAAGCGUUGUCCGGAAUUAUUGGGCGUAAAGAGCUCGUAGGCGGUCUGUCGCGUCGGAUGUGAAAACCCAGGGCUCAACCCUGGGCCUGCAUUCGAUACGGGCAGACUAGAGUUCGGUAGGGGAGACUGGAAUUCCUGGUGUAGCGGUGAAAUGCGCAGAUAUCAGGAGGAACACCGGUGGCGAAGGCGGGUCUCUGGGCCGAAACUGACGCUGAGGAGCGAAAGCGUGGGGAGCAAACGGG